rnacentral:rRNA from 1 species
AGUGAACGCUGGCGGUAGGCCUAACACAUGCAAGUCGAACGGCAGCACAGUAAGAGCUUGCUCUGACGGGUGGCGAAUGGCGGACGGGUGAGGAAUACAACGUACUCUACUUUUUCGUGGGGGAUAACGUAGGGAAACUUACUCUAAUACCGCAUACCACCUACGGGUGAAAGCAUUGGAUCGUCUGACCUUGCGCGGAUGAAUGAGCCGAUGUCGGAUUAGCUAGUUGGCGGGGUAAAGGCCCACCCAGGCGACGAUCCGUAGCUGGUGUGAGAGGACGGUCAGCGACACUGGAAGUGGAACACGGUCCAUAGUCCUACGGGACGCAGCAGAGGGGAAUAUUAGACAAUGGUGGCAAGCCUGAUCCAACCAUACCGCGUGGGAUGAGAAGGCCUUCGGGUUGUGAAGCCCUUUUGUUGGGAAAGAAAAGCAGCAGGUUAAUACCCCGCGGUUCUGACGGUACCCAAAGAAUAAGCACCGGCUAACUUCGUG